CAGCCGCCGCGGGAAUACGAAGGGUGCAAGCGUUAAUCGGAAUUACUGGGCGUAAAGCGUGCGUAGGCGGUGAGUUAAGUCUGCUGUGAAAUCCCCGGGCUCAACCUGGGAAUGGCAGUGGAUACUGGCUCGCUAGAGUGUGUCGGAGGAUGGUGGAAUUCCCGGUGUAGCGGUGAAAUGCGUAGAGAUCGGGAGGAACAUCAGUGGCGAAGGCGGCCAUCUGGGACAACACUGACGCUGAGGCACGAAAGCGUGGGGAGCAAACAGGAUUAGAUACCCCCGUAGUCCCUGUCUCUUAUAA
rnacentral:rRNA from 1 species